GUGCCAGCAGCCGCGGUAAGACGAACCGUGCGAACGUUGUUCGGAAUCACUGGGCUUAAAGGGCGCGUAGGCGGACUGCCAAGUCCGGGGUGAAAUCUUUCGGCUCAACCGGAAAAUAGCCUCGGAGACUGGCGGUCUGGAGGGGGGUAGGGGCAGCUGGAACUUCCGGUGGAGCGGUGAAAUGCGUUGAUAUCGGAAGGAACGCCGGUGGCGAAAGCGAGCUGCUGGACCUUUUCUGACGCUGAGGCGCGAAAGCCAGGGGAGCAAACGGGAUUAGAUACCCCUGUAGUCC
rnacentral:rRNA from 1 species